rnacentral:lncRNA from 1 species
AACCAUGAUAUUAUAUACUAAGUUUAGCUUUAGUGUAAUAAUUACAUGUUUUACACUACAUAUUGUCAGAAUCUUAUGAUGUCGUUUACACUGAAUUUGGAGGUAAUGCAAUAAUGAAAUUAUAUACUGAAUUUGGAGGUAAUGCGAUAAUGUCACUAUAAACUGAAUUUGAAGACAGUGCAAUGAUGACAUGAACUGAAUUUGGAUAUAAUGCAAUAAUGAGACAUUAUAAACUGAAUCUGGAGGUAAUGUCACAAUGCCAUUAAAUACUGAACUUGGAGGUGGUGUAAUAAUGACAUUACCUGUGGAUUUGGAGGUAAUGCAAUAACGACAUCAUAUACUGAAUUUGGAGGUAAUGCAAUAAUAACAUUAUAUACUGAAUUUGGAGGUAAUACAAUAAUGACAUUAUAUACUGAAUUUGGAGGUAAUACACUAAUGACAUUAUAUACUGAAUUUGGAGGUAAUGCAAUAAUGACAUUAUAUACUGAAUUUGGAGGUAAUACAUUAAUGACAUUAUAUACUGAAUUUGGAGGUAAUACAAUAAUGACAUUAUAUACUGAAUUUGGAGGUAAUGCAUUAAUGACAUUAUAUACUGAAUUUGGAGGUCAUGCAAUAAUGACAUUAUAUACUGAUUUUGGAGGUAAUGCAAUAAUGACAAUAUAUACUGAAUUUGGAGGUAAUGCAAUAAUGACGGUAUGGUGUAAUGAUGCCACUGUACACUUAAUCUUUGGGUAAUGUGAUGAUGUCAUAACCUGAAUGUGUUGACGUGAAAAUGACACUAUGCACGCCGUUUGAUGGUAGUGUAAUGGUAACACUACAUACAUGUACAUACUAUAGCUAUAGAUCUGGAUUCAGUUACCUUCGGUCACAUUGUUCUGUGAUGGUUCCAGCAUGUCUACCCUGCCUUUCCUUGUGCUAGGAUUUGGUAAUAAGAACAAUCCACAGAUCUGAUCGUUUACUAACUAGAUAUAUUUUAUGUUCGCUUCGUUUUGGUUGCGUGAUUCUCGCCAAAAAGGCAUCACAAUGAUCUGUCGCUUUACUUGUAAAACUAUUUGCAUUUACACUGCUGCAUCUAGUCUGAUGAUUGUCAUAGAUCUGAGUUAUUUCACAAUUGUUAGUUCAUAGUAAACAUAUAUAUAU